rnacentral:rRNA from 1 species
GGCGGCGUGCUUAACACAUGCAAGUCGAGCGGUAAGGCCCUUCGGGGUACACGAGCGGCGAACGGGUGAGUAACACGUGGGUGAUCUGCCUCGUACUCUGGGAUAAGCCUGGGAAACUGGGUCUAAUACCGGAUAUGACCACAUGUCGCAUGGUGUGUGGUGGAAAGAUUUAUCGGUGCGAGAUGGGCCCGCGGCCUAUCAGCUUGUUGGUGGGGUAACGGCCUACCAAGGCGACGACGGGUAGCCGACCUGAGAGGGUGAUCGGCCACACUGGGACUGAGACACGGCCCAGACUCCUACGGGAGGCAGCAGUGGGGAAUAUUGCACAAUGGGCGGAAGCCUGAUGCAGCGACGCCGCGUGCGGGAUGACGGCCUUCGGGUUGUAAACCGCUUUCGACUCCGACGAAGGGCAAGUGACGGUAGGAGUAGAAGAAGCACCGGCCAACUACGUGCCAGCAGCCGCGGUAAUACGUAGGGUGCGAGCGUUGUCCGGAAUUACUGGGCGUAAAGAGCUUGUAGGCGGUCUGUCGCGUCUUCUGUGAAAAUUCACAGCUCAACUGUGAACCUGCAGGGGAUACGGGCAGACUAGAGUACUUCAGGGGAGACUGGAAUUCCUGGUGUAGCGGUGAAAUGCGCAGAUAUCAGGAGGAACACCGGUGGCGAAGGCGGGUCUCUGGGAAGUAACUGACGCUGAGAAGCGAAAGCGUGGGUAGCGAACAGGAUUAGAUACCCUGGUAGUCCACGCCGUAAACGGUGGGUACUAGGUGUGGGUUUCCUUCCACGGGAUCCGUGCCGUAGCUAACGCAUUAAGUACCCCGCCUGGGGAGUAC